rnacentral:rRNA from 1 species
UACAGAGGGUGCAAGCGUUAAUCGGAUUUACGAUGGGCGUAAAGGCGCGAGCGUAGGCGGCUAAUUAAGUUCAAAUGGUGAAAUCCCCGAGACUUAACUUGGGAAUUGCAUUCGAUACUGGUUAGACUAGAAGUGUGGGAGAGGAUGGUAGAAUUCCAGGUGUAGCGGUGAAAUGCGUAGGGAUCUGGAGGAAUACCGAUGGCGAAGGACAGCCAUCUGGCCUAACACUGACGCUGAGGUGCGAAAGCAUGGGGAGCAAACAGG